AAUCAACGCUGGCGGCGUGCCUCAGACAUGCAAGUCGAACGCGAAAGUCCCCUUCGGGGAGUGAUUAGAGUGGCGCACGGGUGAGUAACACGUAGGUAAUCUACCUUCGAGUGGGGAAGUAAACUCAGGGAAACGUUAGAGCUAAUACCGCAUAAUGCAGCGGCACCACAUGGUGACAGUUGUUAAAGCAUUUAUGCGCUUGAAGAGGAGCCUGCGGCAGAUAGUCUAGUUGGUAAGGUAAUGGCUUACCAAGGCUACGAUCUGUAACCGGCCUGAGAGGGCGGACGGUCACACUGACACUGAAUAACGGGUCGAGACUCCUACGGGAGGCAGCAGUCGGGAAUUUUGGGCAAUGGGCGAAAGCCUGACCACGCAACGCCGCGUGAAGGAUGAAAUC
rnacentral:rRNA from 1 species